rnacentral:lncRNA from 1 species
UUAAAAAACUAUUGGGAAAUGGGGAAGAGGAAGGUUUCUAAUUUCUUUUUCUUUUUCUUUUUUUUUUUGGUACUGGGUAUUGAACUUGAGUCCUUGUGCUUGUGAGACAGGCGGUAGAACCACUGAGCUAAAUCCCUGGCUAUCUAAUUUCUUAUUAGGAGUUUGAUGAACAAGGCUCUGUGUAUAUGCAUGUGUAUGGAUGCAAAUAUGUAUAGACACACAAUUGAUGUAUUUCACAAACCUCUUGAAUGUAGUUCUUUAUUUCCAUAUUUUCCAAAGUUGUUUUGACUGUGACAGUGAGAUGCAGCCGACCUUGCCAUCCAGUACAAACAUGCCAUCUAACAUUAUGAAACUGACAAUAUUCCACUCUUGACUUUAUGUAAUGGUAAUUUCGCAUGGUAAAACCUAUAUAUAAUGCAAACAAACAAUACUUAGCCUUCCUCUUUGUGAUACCCAUUAAUUUAUGCUUUGCUGGUUGUAUACUAAAUUUAUACCACUACCAGCACCACUGAUAAGUCACAACCAGCUGCUUUAUUUAAUCUUAACAGUUUUUGAGGCAGAUUCAUGACUCCCAUCCCCAUGUACACACCAGAUGUCACCGGAUAUUUAGCCCUGGGAUUUGGUGACUGACCUCAGGUAGCUCCUAUUAACUAUUCAAUGACCACUGUGUGCUUCGUCUUACCUCACUAAAUCUGCAUUCAGGACAUUGUGAUGUGGGUACCAAACUGGCAAAUGUGAAAUUCCUGACAUUAAAUCAGUGGUUUCCCGGCACAAGAUUAGCAAGGGACAGACUCCAGAUCUGAGCAAUUUUCUGAUGGCCAAGUCCGAGCUGUUUUCACUGCUUUGGAGCGGAGAUCCAGACGCAGAUCCAACCCAGACUUUGCAACGCACCAGUUCUUGCCUUUAAAAAAAAUUUUUUUUCAGUAAUGAGGCUUGAACCCAGGGCCUUUGCACAUCCUCAGUCCUUUUUAUUUUUAUUUUGGGACAGGACCGCAGUAAAUUGCUCUAUUGCCCACGCUGGGCUCCAGCUUGUGAUCCCCCUGCCUCAGCCUCCCAGAGUGCUGGGAUCACAGGAGGGCGCCACCACCUUGGAACGUAGGGAAGGGCGCGUGCGCGCAAGUACUUGCUGCCUGCCCUCGUGCUUCAACUUUCAGUCCCCGCUACGCUUUCUAGGCCUUCUCAUUGGCUGCGGGGUGUACUUUUUCCUCGGGACCAACCCCUCUUCCAGCCCAGGUUGCAGCUGGAAGUCUUCACUGGUCUCCCUGUCUUCCCUGCCCCCAUCAGGGACGGGAAGACGACGGUUCCCCGCCCGCCCUUUCCAGAUGCAUGACUGCCAAAGACCCCCAGUGCAGAGGAUGAUGAAUGAGAGGGGCCAAGUUGUGCGUCCGGUUCUGCGCCUUUAAGAGGCAUCAGCUCCUCCCCUUUCGGAAUCGCGGUCUGACGCGGGAUGACAGCCCAGCGUUCGGUAUGUCUAUGUAAAUGAGCUCCCUCCAUGGACCAAUGGGGAGCGGAGGUGCCGGAACCACGGACCAAUGGUAUGGGGGCGCUGGGGCUCACCAUAUAAGGAGCGGCCUCUCCAUAAAAGGAAACAUUGUAUCUCUUUAUAUGGGGGGAAGGGUCGGGGGAUCCCUCCGCCGCCAGCGCGUGGUCCCGGCCCCCUCCACCC